ensembl:lncRNA
UGUGAUCCUACAGAUUGUUUAUGAUAAUGAGUGUCUGUGGGGGUGUUAAUGGCUUUACGACACACCCUACAAUAGGUAUGCUUUAUGUUUAAAAGUAGGGUCAGUUACGCAGAAGUCUCUAAGAUCUCGGCUGUGUAUCAGAGCGCUGUGUAAUUUUAGGCGAAUCGUCGAUUCUCGUUUUAACUCACCGCUAAAGCUUUAUAUAUUAUUUUGGAGAAUACUUCAAAGAGGAGAUGGCUGUCUGUCGUAACAGUGAUGCUGACAUUGUGUCUAUCCCGGACAUCGUAGACGAAAUCAAGUUUCUGAACAAGGGGCGAACACAGAAGUCCCGCGAGUCAGGUUGGAAAACCCCGUGUUGGGAUUGUCAAAUCUUGUAAACAAGAUCGCUGCACCCGAGUUCAAAAAUAAUGAACCGCGCGCUAUAGACUCUUGUUUGGACUGGAAUCAGGAGCUGUUUGAUUCGUGGGACGCCUGUGUAUUUACCCCGGUUCCUGGAGACGAUCUGCCUUCAAACCAAGAAGCAUUUGGUCGCGAGGCUACUGUUAUUAUAGACAAUAACAGAGACUCGGCGGAGGUGAUAUGAACCGGGUUCAAGGCCAUCGAGGAUCGUAUUGCUGGAUUUGAAAAGACUUUUGCUAGCGUCACCGAGCAUCUGGACGUUAUAGAGAAAAAUCAGCGUCUUUAUAAUCAAAGUGUUGUGGAAACAUUACAAAACCAUACCAUCACACAUAAACAAAUCAUAGCAACCCAGAAGCUUCUUGCUGGGGAGAUUCGUCGCGUUGAUCACAAACAACACCUGACGACGGAAUUGUUAAAACAGUUUGUACAGUUGGUUAAAAUCAAGAAACUCCGGUGAGUUGUACAAUAAGUAUUUUAUACCCCUCUGUGUGUGUGUGUGUGUGUGUGUGUGUGUGUGUGUGUGUGUGUGUGUGUGUGUUUAU